rnacentral:rRNA from 1 species
UGGGGAAUAUUGCACAAUGGGCGCAAGCCUGAUGCAGCCAUGCCGCGUGUAUGAAGAAGGCCUUCGGGUUGUAAAGUACUUUCAGCGGGGAGGCAGGUGUUGAGGCUAAUAACCUCAGCAAUUGACGUUACCCGCAGAAGAAGCACCGGCUAACUCCGUGCCAGCAGCCGCGGUAAUACGGAGGGUGCAAGCGUUAAUCGGAAUUACUGGGCGUAAAGCGCACGCAGGCGGUCUGUCAAGUCGGAUGUGAAAUCCCCGGGCUCAACCUGGGAACUGCAUUCGAAACUGGCAGGCUAGAGUCUUGUAGAGGGGGGUAGAAUUCCAGGUGUAGCGGUGAAAUGCGUAGAGAUCUGGAGGAAUACCGGUGGCGAAGGCGGCCCCCUGGACAAAGACUGACGCUCAGGUGCGAAAGCGUGGGGAGCAAACA